rnacentral:rRNA from 1 species
ACGAACGCUGGCGGCAGGCCUAGCACAUGCAAGUCGAGCGAGGACUUCGGUUCUAGCGGCGGACGGGUGAGUAACGCGUGGGAAUGUGCCCUUCUCUACGGAAUAGCCCUGGGAAACUGGGAGUAAUACCGUAUACGCCCUAUUGGGGAAAGAUUUAUCGGAGAAGGAUCAGCCCGCGUUGGAUUAGGUAGUUGGUGGGGUAAUGGCCUACCAAGCCGACGAUCCAUAGCUGGUUUGAGAGGAUGAUCAGCCACACUGGGACUGAGACACGGCCCAGACUCCUACGGGAGGCAGCAGUGGGGAAUCUUAGACAAUGGGGGCAACACUGAUCUAGCCAUGCCGCGUGAGUGAUGAAGGCCUUAGGGUUGUAAAGCUCUUUCAGCUGGGAAGAUAAUGACGGUACCAGCAGAAGAAGCCCCGGCUAACUCCGUG